GGCCAUUCCGAAGGGCCAGGACUGCCCGAGGGUGAAUAGUUGAUGCUGAAAAAUAGCCACAAAAGUAGUCAAGUUGGCACUUGGGUAGGAGAGGUUUGAAAACAUAAAGAAUCAUCAAAGAAGGAUGCCACGGUGCCCAGCCCGAAGUGCUCUCAUGCCAGGGCCCGGGGACCUGUUCCCCAGGGAACCUUACCCGGUCAUGUCCCCAGCAGUGGGAGGGGGAGGUGGGGCAGGAGGAUGCGGGCUCUUGCACCCUGCCUGGCAGAGGGCAGCGUGGGCUCCGGGGUGGGUGAGGAACCUGGGCUGAGUGUCUUUCCCACUCACGCCCCUUCUGUGCACACCCUCCUUCCGCCCGGCCAGUGGGCAGCCUCAGGCUCGGCCAGAAUUUCUCCAGGUGGAUUUCUGGCACCCCAACCACCUGGAACACGAGCCACGGCAGCUCCCAGACCCUUCCCGACAGCCCCUCCUCAGGCUGGAAGCCCCCCUCCCCUCCAGCUGGGUGGCCAUGACCUUCCGAGCUCCCGGACCAGAGUCCUCCUCAGAGCCCUGUAACGCCUUACAGGCAAGACGCAGGUUGCCUGCAAGCGGAGGCCAGCUUGCCAUUUGCCUCAGAAGUGUUUGGAGGGACUGGGGGCUACGUUUCAGCUCACUCCCCAAUGGUCCCUCCACAGCCAUCUAUAGAGCCCCAGUGGGGCCCCCAGGAGACAGGAGGGAGCAGCCGGGACCUCGUCUCCCCUCCAGGAGGUUUGGUUCUGGGGUGGGACUCCUUAAUGGAGACCCAAGAAGUCGCCAUGGUUAUAAUCAACUAGACGCUGACUCGUCAGUGGGGACCGUGAGCCAGUGCCUGGCCUCGGGGUCAUCAGAUAAAGACGAUGGAUGUGGGAUGAGAAAUGGCUGGUGUGGCCAGUGUCCUGGAGGAGGCAGGCAGGCUGGAGUCUUCGAAGGACAUUCCACGUGCCUCAGCUUUUCCAUCUGGAAUAUGGGCUCCAGUGUCAGCCUUCCCCCUGUUGGCAAGGACAACGUGAGACAGGUGACGGGAAGAAUGCGGGCAGCUUCCUGACUGUGCAGUCACCGGCCUCGAGGGAACAGACCUCUGGGCUCCAUUUGUCCUUGGAGCCGGUCUUGCCCCCGCUUGCUUCCAAGUCCCCAGCAGCCAGCAGGAGCCAGUGCCCAAACGCCUUUAAAAAAUAAAACCCACACUCCUGAACA
rnacentral:lncRNA from 1 species